GCUGGGCGUGGUGGAGUGCGCCUGUAGUCCAAGCUACUCAGGAGGCUGAGGCAGGAGAAUCGCUUGAACCCAGGAGGUGGAGGUUGCAGUGGGUGGAUAUCGUGCCACUGCACUCCAGCCUGAGCAAAAGAGUGAGACCCUGUCUCAA
rnacentral:sRNA from 1 species